AACGCACAUUGCGCUUCCUGGUAUUCCGGGGAGCAUGCCCGUUUCAGAAUCAUUAAAAUCUCAUAAUGCUUGCUUGUGUAUGUAUUUUGCAAUACUGUAUAUGGCAAGUUUUGUGGAUUUUGGAUGAUUUGUCAUUUGGCAAUCAUUUGAAAUUGAUUGUAUGUGCUCCAAUUGCGUAUGUCUUUUGGGUAUCUAAAGUGCAACAGAUUAUAUCUAUUCUCUUUGGUACUUAAGGAUGUACUUUGGUGUAUGUAACCAAAAGUUAUUAUACAGACUCUAUACCAAUGUGUAUAGUUUCUGAUAACUUGGUCUGAAAUCGGGCAAGAAAACCCGCUGAACUUAA
rnacentral:misc_RNA from 1 species